rnacentral:rRNA from 1 species
UGCCAUCGGAUGUGCCCAGAUGGGAUUAGCUAGUAGGUGGGGUAACGGCUCACCUAGGCGACGAUCCCUAGCUGGUCUGAGAGGAUGACCAGCCACACUGGAACUGAGACACGGUCCAGACUCCUACGGGAGGCAGCAGUGGGGAAUAUUGCACAAUGGGCGCAAGCCUGAUGCAGCCAUGCCGCGUGUAUGAAGAAGGCCUUCGGGUUGUAAAGUACUUUCAGCGGGGAGGAAGGGAGUAAAGUUAAUACCUUUGCUCAUUGACGUUACCCGCAGAAGAAGCACCGGCUAACUCCGUGCCAGCAGCCGCGGUAAUACGGAGGGUGCAAGCGUUAAUCGGAAUUACUGGGCGUAAAGCGCACGCAGGCGGUUUGUUAAGUCAGAUGUGAAAUCCCCGGGCUCAACCUGGGAACUGCAUCUGAUACUGGCAAGCUUGAGUCUCGUAGAGGGGGGUAGAAUUCCAGGUGUAGCGGUGAAAUGCGUAGAGAUCUGGAGGAAUACCGGUGGCGAAGGCGGCCCCCUGGACGAAGACUGACGCUCAGGUGCGAAAGCGUGGGGAGCAAACAGGAUU